rnacentral:misc_RNA from 1 species
CAGCCGCGGUAUUCCAGCUCCAAUAGCGUAUAUUAAAGUUGUUGCAGUUAAAAAGCUCGUAGUUGAAUUUCGGGGUUAGUAGGUUGGUCAUGCCUCUGGUAUGUACUGGUCUCACUGAUUCCUCCUUCCUGAUGAACCUUAAUGCCAUUUAUUUGGUGUUUUGGGGAAUUUGGACUGUUACUUUGAAAAAAUUAGAGUGUUUAAAGCAAGCUAACGCUUGAAUACAUUAGCAUGGAAUAAUGAAAUAGGACGUUCGAUCCUAUUUUGUUGGUUUCUAGGAUUGACGUAAUGAUUAAUAGGGAUAGUUGGGGGCAUUAGUAUUCAAUUGUCAGAGGUGAAAUUCUUGGAUUUAUUGAAGACUAACUACUGCGAAAGCAUUUGCCAAGGAUGUUUUCAUUAAUCAAGAACGAAAGUUAGGGGAUCGAAGACGAUCAGAUACCGUCGUAGUCUUAACCAUAAACUAUGCCGACUAGGGAUCGGAUGAUGUUAAUUUUUUAAUGACUCAUUCGGCGCCUUACG